rnacentral:misc_RNA from 1 species
CCGAGUUUACAACUCCCAAACCCAAUGUGAACGUUACCAAACUGUUGCCUCGGCGGGAUUUCUGCCCCGGGCGCGUCGCAGCCCCGGACCAAGGCGCCCGCCGGAGGACCAAUUUACAAACUCUUUGUAUGUCCCUCUGCGGAUUUUUAUUAUACAUUCUGAGCUUUCUCGGCGCUCCUAGCGAGCGAUCUGGUCAUAGAGGAAGUCA